rnacentral:rRNA from 1 species
CCCUUAGAUGUUCUGGGCCGCACGCGCGCUACACUGAUGCAUUCAACGAGCCUAUCCUUGACCGACAGGUCCGGGUAAUCUUUGAAUCUGCAUCGUGACGGGGAUAGAUUAUUGCAAUUAUUAAUCUUCAACGCGGAAUGCCUAGUAGGCGCAAGUCAUCAGCUUGCGUCGAUUACGUCCCUGCCCUUUGUACACACCGCCCGUCGCUCCUACCGAUUGGGUGUGCUGGUGAAAUGUUCGGAUCGGCCGUUUGUCGCGGUUUCCGCGGCUCGUGGCUGAGAAGUUCAUUAAACCCUCCCACCUAGAGGAAGGAGAAGUCGUAACA